UACGGAGGGUGCGAGUGUUGUUCGGAAUUAUUGGGCGUAAAGGACGCGUAGGCGGUCAUGAAAGUCAGAUGUGAAAUCCUCCGGCUCAACUGGAGAACUGCAUCUGAAACUUCAUGACUAGAGUACAGGAGAGGGAAACGGAAUUCCCGGUGUAGAGGUGAAAUUCGUAGAUAUCGGGAGGAACACCAGUGGCGAAGGCGGUUUCCUGGCCUGAUACUGACGCUGAGGUGCGAAAGCUAGGGGAGCGAACAGG
rnacentral:rRNA from 1 species